rnacentral:lncRNA from 1 species
CAAUGCCCGUGUAUAAUUCCGCUAUUAAUCUCACAUCCUUCACCAUGGCAAAUAGCGGCAUGCCAUAAGGAUGUACAUGUCUUUGGGUCAUAUAAGGUCAUAUGGGCCCCUAUCAAAGACCAUAUUAACAGCAUCACUUGACUUGGAGCCUACUCCACCUGCAGCCGAACCUGCUCCACCUGCUGGACAAUCCUUCUUCAUGUGUCCAGGCUCUCCACACUUCCAGCAAACAACAUUCCGCUUCAUGGGGUUC